CAGAACAGCUUAGACGACGAAAAGUUUUUUGCACGGAAGUACUAAUAGUUGACAUUCAAUGGAUAUUGCACUGGAUAAGAUGCCACUAUUGAGGAAACUUGAUCGCAUCUGUGUGGAUUGAAGAGUGGAGGGUCGGGGAAGAGUGUGACUGGAGGAGGGAAAGGCCAUGUGGGUGAUUCGGAAGUUCUAAGUGAGGAAUGCCCGCUGGAAGUUGCAGUGACUGACGGAAUGAAGAUAUAGAAGUGUGAAUGGAAAUAUCCGGAAAAAAAUAUCACUACGAAAGCAGUGAGUGAGUUUUUCCCAGUGGAUAAAAACGAAAUCGAUUGAAACAGAAAACACGACUGGAAGGACCAGCAACAGUUGAGAAGAAGAGAGCGUAGAACCCUUGCAGUACGGAGAGGGAGCGACGAAGUACGAGGAGGAGCAGAAGCGAUCCAGAGAUGGAUGCUGAGGAGAGAGAGGAGGAAGAAACAAUAUGGGAUUAUGGCAAGGGAAUGUUCCUUUUCUGUCUCAUGCUUACACUUUACGGGGUACUUUUGCAUGGAUCCUUGGCUGUGUAUUUCAAGGGAUGAAGAACAAAUCGAAAUAAUAAAGAUCCAAAAACAAGACCCCCAUUUAAAAAAUAAAGUACCAGAGACCAAUUUCUCGUGUCUGUCAACAUAACAAUUUUUUUACGUUCGCUAAAUAAACGAUUAUCAUAAAUUUAGUGAAAGCUACAAGAUCCAUUCACCAAACGGAUGCAAUACGGAAAUGAAAUUAUAAUC